rnacentral:lncRNA from 13 species
AUGAGUAAAAUAUGUUUAGUGAUAUCUAGCUUUCUUCAACAUCAGAUUGGCAACUUUACUGUUUACACUAACCUUGGACACAGUGAGGUCAAAGCCACAUUCCUGCUUCAUGUAUGGACCCGUUGCACAGUCAGUCCCAGAGCCGAGAGCCCCAGAGCCCAGACCAUGACAGGGAGGUGGGCCUGGAGAGGUGGGUCUGUAGGGCCUGGAGAAGCAGGGGCUCAGGUGUGUGACUGGGGGAGCAGGUGGAAACAUCCAGUACAGGAUGAAUGGGCUAUUAGCCUCUUCAGAAAAGCCCAUCACAUUCCUUCUCUCUCUAACAAACAAAUUCUGUAAACUACACUGAACAAAAAUAUAAACGCAAUAUGCACAAUUUCAACGAUUUUACUGAGUUACAGUUCAUAUAAGGAAAUCAGUCUAUUUAAUUUUUUUUAUUAGGCCCUAAUCUAUGGAUUUCACAUGACUGGGAAUCAGUGGCAGUCGGUUCCGUUUAAGACAAGGACUUAUUUCUAUUAUAGCAUAUUGGAUGAGUGUCAUUCAUAUUCCAUUCACCCAUCUCAAUGUAACAUUGAUAGCUUGAGGCUACUACAUGAUACUAAAAUUUUCCCUGUACCAAUCACAAGGUUGCUACAACCUAGCCUAUGAAGUUUACAACAUAGGCGCACAGAUCUAAGAAUUUUGAGGUGACAGACAAGGUGACAGACAGACAAGGUGACAGACAAUUUCAAGGUGACAGACAGUGAAACAUGCAAUAUCGCCUUGCACACACUUGCCUACAUCUAGCUGAUCUAGGGUGUAAUCAUUAGUCCAACAGUUGCAAACAAGAAUUUCUAUUAGAUAAAUUCUUGUAUGUUUAUCCCCAUUUCUUUCCGUUUCCUUCCAUUUAAGAAACGUUUUUCAACAGAAUCAGUGGAAUGAAUACACUCCUGAUCACACGCAAACAGUUCACUUUCAUAGCAGCCACAUAAAAACAGCAUGAUCAUUUUGCUCAUUGUAUAUAUCAGUGGAGGCUCCUCAGAGGAGGAAGGGGAGGACCAUCCUCUUCAGUGAAUUUCAUAAAAAUAAAAAUAGUGAAACAUUUAAAUAGUUAUCCUUUUUAGAUAAAACAUACUAAAUAUAUUCACAUGACCAAAUAAUUGAUACAAACACUGUUUUGCAAUGAAGGUCAAGAGUAGCCUCAACAGCACUCUGUAGGGUAGCACCAUGGACAGCUAGCUUCCAUCCUCCUCUGAGAACAUUGACUAGCUACAGCUAGCUAGCACUGCAGUCUAUAAAAUGUAGUGUGUAGUUGACUCAAAGAGAGAGAAAGACAAUAGUUUAACAGUUUUGAACAAAUUAAUUUCUUCAAACAUGAAGGAGAAGCUGUGUAAGUCUAUGGAAGGGGGUGAUUAUUAUAUUAUUAUAAUAAUCAAUUAUUUGGUGACGUGAAUAUACUGUAUUUAGUGUAGUUUUAUCUAAAAAGGAUAACUUUUUUAUGUUUCACUAUUUUUAUUUUUAUGAAAUUCACUGAAACAUGAGGUGAUGGCAGCGGAUUAAUGGCACGACAAUGGGCCUCAGGAUCUCGUCAUUGUGUUCGCUGUCCAUAGCUUAUACCUGCCCAUACCAUAACCCCACCACCAUCAUGGGGCACUCUGUUUUAAUUGAUUUAACAUUUAUUUAACUAGGCAAGUCAGGUUAAGAACAAAUUCUUAUUUACAAUGACUGCCUACCAAAAGGCAAAAGGCCUCCUGCGGGGACGGGGGCUGGGAUUAAAAAUGUAAAUAAUUCAAAUAAAAAUAUAGGACAAAAAAAACACACAUCAUGACAAGAGAGACAACACAACGCUACAUAAAGAGAGACCUAAGACAACAACAUAGCAUUGCAGCAACACAUGACUACACAGCAUGGUAGCAGCACAACAUGGUAGCAGCACAAAACAGGGUACAAACAUUAUUGGUCACCGACAACAGCACAAAGGUCAGGAAGGUAGAGACAACAAUACAUCACGCAAAGCAGCCGCAACUGUCAGUAAGAGUGUCCAUGAAUGAGUCUUUGAAUGAAGAGAUUGAGAUAAAACUGUCCAGUUUCAGUGUUUGUUGCAGUUCAUUCCAGUCGCUAGCUGCAGCGAACUGAAAAGAGGAGCGACCCAGGGAUGUGUGUGCUUUGGGGACCUUUAACAGAAUGUGACUGGCAGAAUGGGUGUUGUAUGUGGAGGAUGAUGGCUGCAGUAGAUAUCUCAGAUAGGGGGGAGUGAAGCCUAAGAGGGUUUUAUAAAUAAGAAUCAACCAGUGGGUCUUGAGACGUGUAUACAGAGAUGACCAGUUUACCGAAGAGUGCAGUGAUGUGUCCUAUAAGGAGCAUUGGUGGCAAAUCUGAUGGCCGAAUUGUAAAGGACAUCUAGCUACUCGAGAGCACCCUUACCUGACAAUCUAUAAAUUAUGUCUCCGUAAUCUAGCAUGGGUAGGAUGGUCAUCUGAAUCAGGGUUAGUUUGGCAGCUGGGGUGAAAGAGGAGCAAUUACGAUAGAGGAAACCAAGUCUAGAUGUGGUUUUAGUCUGCAGCCUUGAU